rnacentral:rRNA from 1 species
AGAGUUUGAUCAUGGCUCAGGACGAACGCUGGCGGCGUGCUUAACACAUGCAAGUCGAACGGUGAAGCGGGUGCUUGCACUCGUGGAUCAGUGGCGAACGGGUGAGUAACACGUGAGUAACCUGCCCUCCACUCUGGGAUAAGCGCUGGAAACGGCGUCUAAUACUGGAUACGACCGACCCUCGCAUGGGGUGUUGGUGGAAAGAUUUAUCGGUGGUGGAUGGACUCGCGGCCUAUCAGCUUGUUGGUGGGGUAAUGGCCUACCAAGGCGACGACGGGUAGCCGGCCUGAGAGGGCGACCGGCCACACUGGGACUGAGACACGGCCCAGACUCCUACGGGAGGCAGCAGUGGGGAAUAUUGCACAAUGGGCGAAAGCCUGAUGCAGCGACGCCGCGUGAGGGAUGACGGCCUUCGGGUUGUAAACCUCUUUCAGCAGGGAAGAAGCUUUUGUGACGGUACCUGCAGAAGAAGCACCGGCUAACUACGUGCCAGCAGCCGCGGUAAUACGUAGGGUGCGAGCGUUGUCCGGAAUUAUUGGGCGUAAAGAGCUUGUAGGCGGUUUGUCGCGUCUGCUGUGAAAAUUCAGGGCUUAACCCUGGACGUGCAGUGGGUACGGGCAGACUAGAGUAUGGUAGGGGAGACUGGAAUUCCUGGUGUAGCGGUGGAAUGCGCAGAUAUCAGGAGGAACACCGAUGGCGAAGGCAGGUCUCUGGGCCAUUACUGACGCUGAGAAGCGAAAGCAUGGGGAGCGAACAGGAUUAGAUACCCUGGUAGUCCAUGCCGUAAACGUUGGGCGCUAGGCGUGGGUCUCAUUCCACGAGAUCCGUGUCGCAGCUAACGCAUUAAGCGCCCCGCCUGGGGAGUACGGCCGCAAGGCUAAAACUCAAAGGAAUUGACGGGGGCCCGCACAAGCGGCGGAGCAUGCUGAUUAAUUCGAUGCAACGCGAAGAACCUUACCAAGGCUUGACAUGCACCGGAUCGCCUCAGAGAUGGGGUUUCCCUUUGGGCUGGUGUACAGGUGGUGCAUGGUUGUCGUCAGCUCGUGUCGUGAGAUGUUGGGUUAAGUCCCGCAACGAGCGCAACCCUCGUUCUAUGUUGCCAGCACGUAAUGGUGGGGACUCAUAGGAGACUGCCGGGGUCAACUCGGAGGAAGGUGGGGAUGACGUCAAAUCAUCAUGCCCCUUAUGUCUUGGGCUUCAAGCAUGCUACAAUGGCCGGUACAGAGGGUUGCGAAACCGUGAGGUGGAGCGAAUCCCAAAAAACCGGUCUCAGUUCGGAUUGGGGUCUGCAACUCGACCCCAUGAAGUCGGAGUCGCUAGUAAUCGCAGAUCAGCAACGCUGCGGUGAAUACGUUCCCGGGCCUUGUACACACCGCCCGUCAAGUCACGAAAGUCGGUAACACCCGAAGACGGUGGCCUAACCCUUGUGGAAGGAGCCGUCUAAGGUGGGACCGGUGAUUGGGACUAAGU